AGAUAGAGUUUUCCCUUCGGGGACACUGGUGACAGGUGGUGCAUGGUUGUCGUCAGCUCGUGUCGUGAGAUGUUGGGUUAAGUCCCGCAACGAGCGCAACCCUUAUUGUUAGUUGCUACGCAAGAGCACUCUAGCGAGACUGCCGUUGACAAAACGGAGGAAGGUGGGGACGACGUCAAAUCAUCAUGCCCCUUAUGUCCUGGGCCACACACGUACUACAAUGGUGGUCAACAGAGGGAAGCAAUACCGCGAGGUGGAGCAAAUCCCUAAAAGCCAUCCCAGUUCGGAUCGCAGGCUGCAACCCGCCUGCGUGAAGUUGGAAUCGCUAGUAAUCGCGGAUCAGCAUGCCGCGGUGAAUACGUUCCCGGGCCUUGUACACACCGCCCGUCACACCAUGAGAGUCGGGAACACCCGAAGUCCGUAGCCUAACAGCAAUGGGGGCGCGGCCGAAGGUGGGUUCGAUAAUUGGGGUGAAGUCGUAACAAGGUAGCCGUAUCGGAAGGUGCGGCUGGAUCACCUC
rnacentral:rRNA from 1 species